UCUCAAGGCUGGGAAUCGGAGAUUGUCACCGGGCGGUGAAGUCCAUUUCCUCCUCCCUUACCACCCUCCCAGCAAAAACUGCGGGGGAGACCUUCGAGGCAUUCAGCCGUGGGCAUUUCCACCCUUUCCGCGGGUGGAAACCACCUCCACCGUUUCUUCUCAGAGCCGGGUGGGGAGAGGGCCGGGCCUGAGAAGAAGACGCAGGGUCUGGCGGCUGGAGGGUUGGAGCGGGAAAGCGAGGGCAAUACUGCAGCGCCAGGCAGCGAGCAAGGGGAAGGAGUUUCCCCACGACUGCCUGCGGCGGGGAGGCGGGAUCCCACCCACUGCCCCCGGGGUCCCUCAGGGAGGAGAAGGGAACAGGACGACCGUGACGCCGCUCCGGCAGUCCAUCCGGAAGAUCCUUCCCUGAAUCCAACGCCUAUUAAAAUCCUAGAACAGUGUUUAUUUGGAACAUGUUCGAGUUCUCAGGAAACGAAAGUACAGCCCACUUGGAAAUAAAUCUCAAGGACAGACUGUCAUUAACGAAAUAGAAAGUGAACUCUGCCCCCUCAUGCUGCGAGCAAGCGCCCAGUGUGAUGCGCUUGGACGCUGUGACGCGCGGUGAUUGCCGAAGUACAAUGGGCCCAAUCUUCCACCAUCACCAACGCGCCGCCCACUCACGGCAAAGAGAGCCACCUAGUGAGAAACCGUUCACAUCUCCGGAACUGUCCAGGUUACCAUGGAUACCACAGUGAAAGAGGGAUGAUACUUGUCUUAGAAUAACUCACCUUCUGGUAGAGACAUUGCAGUACAAGAAGUGAUAAGAAUAUAAAUGAUGGACUUGGAAAUUGAGAUAAGAACAAAACAGAACUACAGAUGAGCUGUUUCGUGUUAGGAGCUGUGAUGAAGAGCUGUCGGAAAGCUAAAGAGGACAAGGAAACUUGCCAGGAGCUAACCCAGCCGGCCUGGGCUAGCACGUGCACCCACCCCAGCUCUCCCACCGCCCGGCUCGUUCCCGCUCCCGCUCCGGCUCCCGCUCCCUCUCGUGUGCUCUCUGAACUUUUGCUUGAGAUGUUUCUGUCUUCCAACUCACCGAAGCCUUUGUUCGAACCUUGCCCAAGGCUCCUCAAGAACCACCCUAGGAAUCCUUAGAGGUGUGACUUCAGAAGCCACCAGAAUCGUAAACAUGACUCCUGCAAGGACACUUCCGGGUGAUUCCCUUGAGGAGCCUCUGUCCACACGUGGUGUGUACUAUCCUUUC